CCUCUGUGGCUGCCCCUCAGAGGGGCUGGAGGCUCGGGUGGACCAGCGUCGUGGCCUGGCUUGGUGAGGAGGGCCCGGCGAGAGAACUGCUCACAGAGUUUAGAUGCUGCUGAGUGUGAGAACCAAGCUUCAGAAACAUGGUUUCUGUGAUCCAGUUUAAGAUAUGCACAACUUGGGAGGUGACAAACUGCAGCAGCCAGGACAAAGAGCACAGAGAGGGAUUUCAUAAUUGGCUUUACCUCUGAAGAAAAUGUGAUGUGUCACUGCGACAUUUAUGUACAGCCUGAUACACAGUUCUGCACAGCCUGUUCCUGGCUGCAGAUCUUAAGGAUUUCGUCUUCCCUGCCACCACCGCCACCUAUGGCCCCACGGUUGUGCUGCCACAGCUGUUUGUAACUCUGCACUGGGAUCAAACCAGUGCUUGCAUUAAAAGCAGCACCGGUUUUAGUAACACUUUUUUUAACCCAGAUGGGUUUGUUUUUCCAGUUUACUGUGUGGCCCUAUGUACUGGUGUGCUGACACAGCUGUUGGAAACAUACCUUUUUUUGGUGGCAAGGCAGGAUAUGGGGAUUCCUACUGUUUUUGCUGGCUUGCCACCAAAAAUGGGGUCUGUGUGUGAAACUGUCCCCCUCUUCCAGCUCUCCCGAAAACAAGGCCAGUUGCUGAAAUCUUGGCAAUUAAAAGGAGAAGCUAUUUCUGAGCCUCAGGGAAUGUCUGAUACCUAUAGUUAGUGCGCUGCUUCACUGUGUUGUUCUCCUCUUGCCUGGAGAACAGAACGUUUUCUUGACAUGUUUGAAAAGUAACUUAGGCCACUGCAGUUAUUCAGCUGAAAGUUGUAUUUGAUGUAUGUCCAAAACUGUAUUUUCCAAGAGAGUUCCAGUGAAUGCAGUAAUAGUAGAAAUCUUUCAAUGGGCUUUUUGUUUGGUGAAAUAAAAUGAACAGUUGUUUAUCA